AGCCCCGUAGUCUAGUGGCCAAGGAUGCCGGGUUCUGGACCCGGUGACAGGAGUUCGAAUCUCCUCGGGGCUA
rnacentral:tRNA from 1 species